AUUGAACGCUGGCGGCAGGCCUAACACAUGCAAGUCGAGCGGAGCGGCGGAGGGGUGAGUAAUGCCUAGGACUCUGCCUGGUAGUGGGGGAUAACGUCCGGAAACGGGCGCUAAUACUGCAUACUAUUAGAUGAGCCUAGGUCGGAUUAGGUUGUUGGUGUGGUAAAGGCAUACCAAGGCGACGAACCGUAACUGGUCUGGGUGUAUGAUCAGUCACACUGGAACGGAGACACGGUCCAGACUCCUACGGGAGGCAGCAGUGGGGAAUAUUGGACAAUGGGCGAAAGCCUGAUCCAGCCAUGCCGCGUGUGUGAAGAAGGUCUUCGGAUUGUAAAGCACUUUAAGUUGGGAGGCGUUACCAACAGAAUAAGCACCGGCUAACUUCGUGCCAGCAGCCGCGGUAAUUC
rnacentral:rRNA from 1 species